rnacentral:rRNA from 1 species
UACAGAGGUCUCAAGCGUUGUUCGGAUUUAUUGGGCGUAAAGGGCGCGUAGGCGGCGGGGUAAGUCGGGUGUGAAAUCUCAGGGCUCAACCCUGAAACUGCACUUGAUACUGCUCUGCUUGAGGACUGGAGAGGAGACUGGAAUUCACGGUGUAGCAGUGAAAUGCGUAGAUAUCGUGAGGAAGACCAGUGGCGAAGGCGACACACUGGCCCGUUACUGACGCUGAGGCGGCGAAAGCGUGGGGAGCAAACAGGG